CAGCUUCGCUGGUCGACAUAGCCUGGUGCAAAUUUGCCUGAUCUGCCUGGUGAUCUUGUCGUUGGUGCUGAAGCUUAGACACGUCUUUUUGAAUCGCCCGCUCCACAUUGGCAUCCUCUUCUUCGUCUCCGCGUGACGUGAUUUCAGCCGCUCCCAACGGUUUCCCGGGGGCCGUGUUGGUAGCGCGCAGAGGGGACUGUGAACCAUCCAUGGCGAGCGUGGUACUUUCAAGAUCUUGCAUCUGAGCAUCUGCACUGUUGGCGGACCGAGCAGACCUCACAGUAUGUCUGCUGUUUUGGUGGUUUUCUCGGUCCUCCAAAUUCAUCUUUUGCUUUGCUUCCUGGGCUUCUCGCACCAUCUCAUUAGAGUUGCCCAUUUUCUUCAGGUCUUUCUGAAUCAGCUUCCACCGAACGAUAACGUCUUUCUUUUCUGCAUCGGAGCUCUGCAGCCACUCCUCGUACCCUUGAACUACCCUCGACGCCCUGAUGUAAUUCUGCACAUUGCUGCCGAACAACUUCUGCACCUCUUUGCUGACCCCCUGCAUUGUAUGACCAAGGAUACCAAAGACGGCUGCGCCCGGCUUGGCUAUGAAUCCUCCAAUCCCUCUGCCGACUCCUUUGACAAAGCCGCUGGCACCCUCUUUCUGGGCGCCUUUCCAGGGCUGAGUGACCAGGCCAGUAACGCCAUCAUACCAGCCAAAGCCAAAUUCUCUUCCUACUGCCUUGAUGCCUGACUUUAAAUCGCUUGCCCUUUCUUGAGGGCGCACGGUAUCGUCUCCCCAAAGCUUAGGGAUAUUGUGAAACCCUCUCGUGAAAUUCACUGAAAGAUCCACAGGUGCCUGCACAACCGCCUUUACAAAACGUCCAGCGCCUUUGCUCAUAUGCACGCCAGUCGGGCGCAGCACGUCAGGGUCUUUGUCAGAGCCAGAUUCAUUCUGACUGAGGAAUCGACUUCGGCUGGCGUCAUCCUGUUUGGGAUUCAACUGGCCUUGUAAUGGACCGGGCAUAGUACUUGAUCCGACGUUUGAAGUGGGAGUUGACCGACCAGAGAGGUUGGGAGGGCUCCGAACAUAAGCAAGAGAGUCCUCCACAAUCAAGCUCAUCUCACUUUGUCCAGGCGAAAUCGAUGGACUUGAUCUUUCCCCUAUAUGUGAGGCCUCGCUUUUGUUCGCGAUAGUCGGCACUGAUGCUUGGGACUGCUGUCGGCUGCGUCCAGCCGGAAUCUGCAAAGCUCUCCAUGUCUCCGAGGGAACAUCAGCUAGACCCAUCAUCAUGCCGCUGACUGCCCCCAGAAAUGCCGUAAAACCUCCGGAGAUUGGAUCCCAGGGGCCUUCAUCGAUGUAAUGUUCUUGUGGUCUAAAGAGCUUCAAGUCUUGGAAAUCCAAAAGUUUUGCAUUUGCCAAAGUACAGGCAGCAAAAGCGCUCAACCUGACCUUGGUGCGCUUGACACGCCAUGCAGCGGGUCGAGAUGGUGCAAGGGUGCAACGGAGUCGGUCAGGCUUGAGAAAUUUAUGGAUCGACUGAGCACCCAUGUCGCUGCCUCGCUCCGCCGCGAUCUUGCUUGCGAGUUCUUUGGCGCGAUCCAGGCUUUCGGGUUUCAGACAGAAGUUGAUAGCAUCGGCUAGUUUGUCUGCUGUGAGUUGUUUGUGAGGGAUCGGAUCGGGGCCUGCACCUGCUCGCGCGACCAUGGCGCCCCAGAAAGACUGAUCUCCAAAGAAGGGAACGACUAAAGUCGGCCGGCCUGCGGUAAUGCCUGCCGCCGUGGUUCCUGCGCCACCAUGGUGCACGACGCAUGAGACGUGCUUAAAAAGCCAGUCAUGCGGCACGUUGCAUAGCAUGAAGACGCCAUCGGGGAUAUGAAGCUCAUCUGCGCCUAUGCCUCCCCAGCCUUUAGAAAGGAGGACACGCUGGCCAGUCUUCCUCACAGCCUUGAAAAUGAGUUCCGUCAUCGCAUUGGGAUCGUCCAAGACGAUGCUCCCGAAUCCUAUGUAGACGGGAGGUGGACCAUCGUCGAGAAAUGCCUGUAAGUCAGGGGCAGGGGUGUAGUUAGAGGCCAAGUUGAGAAAGCAGAACCCGGAGAUAGAUAUGUGAGAGCCCCAGUCUUUCGGUUUGGGUAUUAAAGCCGGAGACCAGCAGUAGGUGUGGGGGAUUUUGAGACGCUGGAGCAUUCCGGGGGCCCAGAUCAUACUUAGAGGGUCCAAACCAAGACAUUUUACGCGAAAUCGGUUGAUAAUGUCACCUAGGGCCUGCCACGAGAUGAGUUCGACCAUGGCGUAGCUAAUGUAAUUAGUAAGUUGAGGGUCGGCAUUCGAGGAUUGAAUGUUAACCAGGGGAUGAGGAAAGGCCUGGGUAGGAGAAUACGGCAUAGUGAACAUGAUAUGGAGCGGGAUGCCUAGCUUCUCUGCGCAAUGGAUAUGGGCAAAACUUGGGGGAUUGGCGAUGAUGCAGUCGGCAACAAAGUGUUCUGCUGUAGGCUUAGAGCCAGUGUCGUUCCCAGAGGGCUCGGAACGGCCAUUGUCGGCUCCGUCAUCGACUUUGUAACAUGAUCGCCAGCAGCCUUGAAUGUACUCGGCAACAUCUUUUCUUCGCUGGCCGACGUCUCCGCUUACUACACUGCGAAAGCCCGGCCUCAGGCCGGGAUUCUUGACCAUAAAGGCCAUUAGCCGGGUGGGGUCGCCGCCAAUGCUAAAGAAUUCCAGGCCAUGCUCCUGAACAAAGUUCUUGAAGGUGGGAUGAGUCGCUAGACGUACGCGAUGGCCGUAGGUGUCUUUUAAGACUUUCCCCAAGGCAACGAAGGGUUGCACGUCUCCGCGAGAGCCCACGACCUGAAUGACGAUGUUCAAGGGCGGUGGUGGAGGAACUCCCUUCUCGCCUCCUAGGGAAGGGGGAAUGUAUGGAGAGAGCGGGUGACUAUCUUGGACAUCCUGGACGUGUUGACGUAAAGCAGGAGUAAAAAAUAUCUGGGACAAAUGGCGAUUGAAGUGACUGAUGCGAAUGUCGACACGGCCAUCAUCGGUGAGACAGGCACUGGUGCCCGUGCCAUUCUUUUCGUCGCGGAUCUCGCCAUAUAUCUUGCCGUAAGCAGGAAGGGGCACGUCGUCCUCGGCCAGCUCUUGAUCGGUGACGUCGGUCUGAUGCAGGAGGGCAUUGUGUGUCGUGGGUCUUGUGGGAUUGGUCUGGGCGGCAGUGGCAGCUUGUGCUUGCUGAAGUGUGGAUUGCUGCACCACGGUCUCCGGGACGGGUUGGCCCAUUUCUAAGGGAGGUUGGGCGACCAUGGUGUGAAUGAGAAAAGGCAGGCUGGGUUCACCUCAUUCAGUCACGGCAUCAGUAUUAUCUGAGGCGAAUGGCUGGUGAGGUCACUAACUUUUGACCUCCAGGGCAACUGUUCGCCCUAGUGAGGUGACGCGGCUGCACCAGGAGGCUGUGAGCAAACCUUUUUGAUAUUUAUCCCCCCAGACUAGUAAUGUUGAAUAUCAGUCGCUUAUCGAAAAAUGUAGUAUGAUAUUCACCAUUACUAGUAAAGGGAGCUCAACCCACUCUACCCACCCACGAUUGGACAAUUCAAAUGCAACCUCUCUUACAUGGUGUGACAAAAGAGAUUUUGCGCAGUUAAAGGAUUGGGCAAAUAAGCAUGAGCAACUGCUCUUCAAAACUAACCACCAAGUCAGGGGUGAUUGUUAUGGCGAAAAAAUACCGUAAACAACACAGAUUUCUCCAUGCAUCAGUGCCUAAUUCAGUUAGCCCCCAUAUGCAUAUAAUCAAUCAAAGGGCUUAGAAGAACUCACAUGGCCCUAACACUACUCUGAUAUUUCAAAUUGUGAUGCCUUACGCCUGCUUGGAACAAUGCCAAUUCUAUUUGACCUGACCUACCAAUAGAGCACAAUAUAUGAAGAUUCAAAGCUGAAGAAGAGAAGAAAGGUUAAAGCUGCUUUGCAACUCGUUGCGAAUAAACAAAACCUCAUGCCCGAGAGGCCAGUCCCAGUGGUUAUGGCAGUGAGGUUGGGGUCAGUGCCGUCAUAUGCUGGUCUCACGUCUCACGCCUUGACCCCAGCCAGGCAUCAGCAUUUCUGGAGGACGUAAGGACAUUAUCAGGAAACAUUCUAUAUCAAGUAUGUCAGAUGGAAAGCAUAGAUAAAGAUGCUCUCUUGGACUGUUGUGAAAGAUGAAAAGAAAAUUGAACAACUUUCAUUACAACCCUGCCUACCUGAACUGUCAGUCAAUUUCUAAAUAAGAACCUAUAUAACUUUUAUCACUAAUUUCUCCCUCUCCUUUCUUUAACCGCAUUAGAGCGCUCAUUAGUGGCCCACUUUCUUUGUUGAUAAGGUUUAUGGCUUUACGUUCCCUUGUAUAAUUUCCUGAGCUCUACACCACGCCCAAAUUCCAUC
rnacentral:sRNA from 2 species